AUUGAACGCUGGCGGCAUGCUUAACACACGCAAGUCGAACGGUAACAGGUGUAGCAAUACAUGCUGACGAGUGGCGGACGGGUGAGGAAUGCUUGGGAAUCUGCCUGUUAGUGGGGGACAACCCGGGGAAACUCGGGCUAAUACCGCAUACGCUCUACGGAGGAAAGCGGGGGACCGUAAGGCCUCGCGCUAACAGAUGAGCCCAAGUCGGAUUAGCUAGUUGGUGGGGUAAAAGCCUACCAAGGCGACGAUCCGUAGCUGGUCUGAGAGGACGAUCAGCCACACUGGGACUGAGACACGGCCCAGACUCCUACGGGAGGCAGCAGUGGGGAAUAUUGGACAAUGGGGGCAACCCUGAUCCAGCAAUGCCGCGUGUGUGAAGAAGGCCUGCGGGUUGUAAAGCACUUUUGGCAGGGAUGAAAAGCACUGGAUUAAUAACCCAGUGUGUUGACCUAACCUGCAGAAGAAGCACCGGCUAACUCUGUG
rnacentral:rRNA from 1 species